rnacentral:rRNA from 1 species
CACGUAGUUAGCCGGUGCUUAUUCUUCAGGUACCGUCAUUAGCAAAGGAUAUUAGCCUUCACCGUUUCUUCCCUGACAAAAGAGCUUUACAACCCGAAGGCCUUCUUCACUCACGCGGCAUUGCUGGAUCAGGCUUGCGCCCAUUGUCCAAAAUUCCCCACUGCUGCCUCCCGUAGGAGUCUGGACCGUGUCUCAGUUCCAGUGUGGCUGGUCGUCCUCUCAGACCAGCUACUGAUCGUCGCCUUGGUGAGCCUUUACCUCACCAACUAGCUAAUCAGAUAUCGGCCGCUCUAAAAGCAUAAGGCCCGAAGGUCCCCUACUUUCAUCCGUGGAUCGUAUGCGGUAUUAGCGUAACUUUCGCUACGUUAUCCCCCACUUCUAGGUACGUUCCGAUAUAUUACUCACCCGUUCGCCACUCGUCAGCGGAGCAAGCUCCCUGUUACCGUUCGACUUGCAUGUGUAAAGCAUGCCGCCAGCGUUCAAUCUGAGCCAGGAUCAAACU